rnacentral:rRNA from 1 species
UGAGGAAUAUUGGUCAAUGGGCGAGAGCCUGAACCAGCCAAGUAGCGUGCAGGAUGACGGCCCUAUGGGUUGUAAACUGCUUUUAUGUGGGGAUAAAGUGCGUGACGUGUCAUGCAUUGCAGGUACCGCAUGAAUAAGGACCGGCUAAUUCCGUGCCAGCAGCCGCGGUAAUACGGAAGGUCCGGGCGUUAUCCGGAUUUAUUGGGUUUAAAGGGAGCGUAGGCUGUCUAUUAAGCGUGUUGUGAAAUUUACCGGCUCAAACGGUGGCUUGCAGCGCGAACUGGUCGACUUGAGUAUGCAGGAAGUAGGCGGAAUUCAUGGUGUAGCGGUGAAAUGCUUAGAUAUCAUGACGAACUCCGAUUGCGCAGGCAGCUUACUGUAGCAUAACUGACGAUGAUGCUCGAAAGUGCGGGUAUCAAACAGG